CAUUUAACUUUAGCGGUGAUAUCAAAUAAAAAAAAAAUCGCAUAUCAGAAAACCUGCCAUUUUUCAUCGUCAUUUUCUCUCUCAUCGCGCAGCUCCUUUGGAGGCAAUUUCAUGGGUGACAAGUAUUCGACAUCCUUUUCCUUACACCUUCGUAGCUUCAAAUCUAUCAAUCCUCCAGUAUUUGGUCCUUGGAGGCGAUAACAUAUACGAUUCUUCUUCCUUUUCCUUACAACUUCGCGCAGGUCUUCGCACAGGUCGUUGCUAGGCUACAGAUCGAUCAAUCCUUCCGUACUUGGUUUUCAGCUCAAUCCUCUCUCUGUUAUGUAUUUGUGUGACCCGAAUCUGAAACCCUAGAGUUCUUCGCAACCACAGAUCGACGCUCUUUCAGAAUCAUAAACUAUUGUCAACCCAGUACUAUGUAAUCCAUAUAUGCUCUUGGAAGAACUGGCACUACAUCGAAGGACAUGGCAAUAAGUUGUGGGCAGUGGCACCAGUGGGAUUUAUAGGAAUUAUUCUCCAGUUUCUGCAACUCCAGGAAGCUAGUGAUCUCUAAGUUAAUCAAAUGGAGGCCUAUGCAAGUAUAAAGAAGUGUGUGUGCAUUUUAUGGAAUGAAUUUUAGUGAUCUUCAGUUGUGUGUACAUUUUAUGUUAGUAUAAUGAAGUGUGUGUGUACUCACAUACUAUUUUUAAGGAAAUUCUUGCUCUCUAUGUGCAAGUAUAUAUGUGAAUGGUGCAACAACAAUUUAUUAAGUUUGUGAUGUACAAAAAAAACUUGUGGUUUAGUGUGUUAUUUAUGAUUGAUUAAAAUCUUACAAAAUAUUUUCAAGUA